rnacentral:rRNA from 1 species
GCCUAUGGCUAUACCACCCUGAAUGCGCCGGAACUCACCUGAUCUUAGAAGUGAAGCAGGGUUGGGCCUGGUUAGUAGUUAAGAUGGGAGAAAGUUGCCCUAGGUA